rnacentral:rRNA from 1 species
AUUGAACGCUGGCGGUAUGCUUAAGACAUGCAAGUCGAACGGUAACAGGUUAAGCUGACGAGUGGCGGACGAGUGAGUAACGCGUGGGAAUCUACCUUGUAGUGGGGGAUAAGCCAGGGAAACUUGGACUAAUACCGCAUACGCCCUAAGGGGGAAAGGCGCAAGUCGCUAUAAGAUGAGCCCGCGUCUGAUUAGGUAGUUGGUGGGGUAAAGGCCUACCAAGCCGACGAUCAGUAGCUGGUCUGAGAGGAUGAUCAGCCACGUCGGGACUGAGACACGGCCCGGACUCCUACGGGAGGCAGCAGUCGGGGAAUAUUGGGACAAUGGGGGAAACCCGUGAUCCAGCAAUACCGCGUGUGUGAAGAAGGCCUGCGGGUUGUAAAGCACUUUCAGUUGGGAAGGAUAAUGACGUUACCAACAGAAGAAGACACCGGCUAACUCCGUGCCAGCAGCCGCGGUAAGGCACGACUGUU